UCCAGGGACCGCCGAUGGUGCUGUAU
rnacentral:piRNA from 1 species